rnacentral:rRNA from 1 species
GGCUUAUACAUGCAGUCGAGCGGAUGACGGGAGCUUGCUCCUUGAUUCAGCGGCGGACGGGUGAGUAAUGCCUAGGAAUCUGCCUGGUAGUGGGGGACAACGUUUCGAAAGGAACGCUAAUACCGCAUACGUCCUACGGGAGAAAGCAGGGGACCUUCGGGCCUUGCGCUAUCAGAUGAGCCUAGGUCGGAUUAGCUAGUUGGUGAGGUAAUGGCUCACCAAGGCGACGAUCCGUAACUGGUCUGAGAGGAUGAUCAGUCACACUGGAACUGAGACACGAUCAAAACAUAUACGGGAGGCAGCAGUGGGGAAUAUUGGACAAUGGGCGAAAGCCUGAUCCAGCCAUGCCGCGUGUGUGAAGAAGGUCUUCGGAUUGUAAAGCACUUUAAGUUGGGAGGAAGGGCAGUAAGUUAAUACCUUGCUGUUUUGACGUUACCGACAGAAUAAGCACCGGCUAACUCUGUGCCAGCAGCCGCGAUAAUACAGAGGGUGCAAGCGUUAAUCGAAAUUACUGGGCGUAAAGCGCGUGUAGGUGGUUCGUUAAGUUGGAUGUGAAAGCCCCGGGCUCAACCUGGAAACUGCAUCCAAAACUGGCGAGCUAGAGUACGGUAGAGGGUGGUGUAAAUUUCCUGUGUAGCGUGAAAUGCGUAGAUAUAAGAAGGAACACCAGUGCGAGCGCGACCACCUGCACUGAUACUGACAC